AUGGUAUGCAUGUAACUGAAGCAUUUAGAAAUCAUGAUGCUAGUAUUCCUCCACUCAGUGUGAAAAGCCUGAUGGGAAAAUAAAUUUCUCCAUGUAAUGUCCUGGGGCUUGUUCAUAUAGGUCCCAGGAGGGAGAUCACCUGAGCACAGCUACUAUCCAGCCUGAGCGUCUCUCUGCCUGAGCGUGUUCCUGGAUGCUGUAGCUGGUGUACUUGGCAUCACAGGGCCAGAGGAAAGUUAAUGGCUUUGGGAAGCGCUUCAACAAACAAGCGUUGGGGCUUGGUAUCACUUUUCUUGAAUGGUAUGCGACUAGUCUCACUGGACAAACUUUACAGCCUUUGCACCUAAAGGAAAGCAUCACUGGGAAAUGAUGUUGAGUUAGAGGAAAUAGAUACAAGGAGGACAAGAAGUCAUCAAGUUGUCCUUUAAUACAGAGAAAUUCAAUCUGAUUUAAUGUCUCCCAAGAUAAUGCAGUUUCAGGCAGAAUCAAAGAUGAAGGAAAAAAAAUCUUCAGAAAACACCAGAUCUUCAUUCUUCCUUAGAAUGACCUCUGAUGCUGCAGUUGGUGCAGCUCAGCCAAAACCUUGCUGUCCUGUUCACCCUUCUAUUACCACCUCCUCUCACCUGUGAUCAUUCUUUGGCAAGGAGCUUGCCAUGAAGCAACAGCAUCUGGUUCACAUAUCUUCUCUUCGGGGGCAAUGAAGAAAGCUCAAAAAGACCUUCUGGGGCAGUUUGUGGUUUAUUUAUUUAUUUUUUUUCUGGGAACUGAGUAGAGAUAGUUCUGAAAGUUCACCAGCAUUUGCUGAGCCCAGGAAUUUAAAGAAUAAU